rnacentral:rRNA from 1 species
AGAGUUUGAUCAUGGCUCAGGACGAACGCUGGCGGCGUGCUUAACACAUGCAAGUCAAGGGGGUCCGAAAGGACAACCGGCGAACGGGUGCGUAACACGUGAGCAACCUGCCUUAGUGUGGGGAAUAGCCGGCCCAACGGCCGGGUAAUACCGCAUACGAUUCUUGGGGGGAGUCCCCUGGGAAGGAAACCUUCGGGGCACUGAGAGGGGCUCGCGGCCUAUCAGCUAGUUGGCGGGGUAAUGGCCCACCAAGGCGACGACGGGUAGCUGGUCUGAGAGGAUGGCCAGCCACAUUGGGACUGAGAGACGGCCCAGACUCCUACGGGAGGCAGCAGUGGGGAAUCUUGCGCAAUGGCCGAAAGGCUGACGCAGCGACGCCGCGUGUGGGAGGAAGCCCUUCGGGGUGUAAACCACUGUUGCCCGGGACGAACAUCCCUUUUCGAGGGGACUG